GACGAACGCUGGCGGCGUGCCUAAUACAAGCAAGUCGAACGCAGUGGGGACGGGUGAGUAACAUGUGGGUAACCUCCCAUCAGAGGGGAUAACACUUGGAAACAGGUGCUAAACCGAUACUGAUGGAUGGACCCGCGGUGCAUUAGCUAGUUGGUGAGGUAACGGCUCACCAAGGCCACGAGGCAUAGCUGACCUGAGAGGGGGACCGGCAACACUGGGACUGAGACACGGCCCAGACGCCUACGGGAGGCAGCAGUAGGGAAUCUUCGGCAAUGGACGAAAGUCUGACCCAUCAAUGCCGCGUGAAUGAAGAAGGUGUUCGGAUCGUAAAACUCUGUUGUUAGAGAAGCGGUAACUAACGAAGAAGCCACGGCUAACUCCGUGCCAGCAGCCGCGGUAAUAC
rnacentral:rRNA from 1 species